GUACCCUCAAGCUCUGCUUGGUGUUGGGUGUUUGUCCUCUCCCUAGUGUUUGGACUCGCCUUAAAAUAAUUGGCAGCCAGUGUUUUGGUAUUGAAGCGCAGCACAAGUCGCGAUUCGUAACAAACACUUGCGUCCACAAGCCUUUUUAAC
rnacentral:misc_RNA from 1 species